rnacentral:tRNA from 1 species
GCCUGGGUGGUUCAGUCGGUUAAGCAUCUGACUUCAGCUCAGGUCACGAUCUCACGGUUUGUGAGUUCAAGUCCCACGUCGGGCU